rnacentral:rRNA from 1 species
UACGGAGGGUGCAAGCGUUAAUCGGAAUUACUGGGCGUAAAGCGCGCGUAGGCGGCUUGGUCAGUUGGGUGUGAAAGCCCCGGGCUUAACCUGGGAACUGCAUCCAAUACUGCCAGGCUAGAGUACGAGAGAGGGGGGUAGAAUUCCUAGUGUAGCGGUGAAAUGCGUAGAUAUUAGGAGGAAUACCAGUGGCGAAGGCGGCCCCUGGCUCGACUACUGACGCUGAGGUGCGAAAGCGUGGGGAGCAAACAGAUGA